rnacentral:tRNA from 1 species
GCCCGGGUGGCUCAGCGGUUGAGCAUCUGCCUUUGGCUCAGGCCGUGACCUCGGGGUCCUGGGAUCGAGUCCCGCCUCGGGCU